rnacentral:lncRNA from 12 species
GCCUGUGCUGAAUACUGGAAAGAAGGCUGUGAGGAGAAGAGAGCAAAAAGCCGGGAGCAGAGUGAAGGACUUCUCUGGGCAUUAGCCUCUUGGAUCUUUGAUCUGGUCACUCCAAGGGAGUCUGCAGGUCAGUGUGCUACAAAUGGAUCUCAACUCAAUUUGCUCAUAAGAAUCAUCAGAGAGCUUUUUAAAGGAUCAGUCAUCACAGAGGUGUAUCUCUGAGUCGUGAAGUUUGUCAGAUGCUUGGAAGAACUCCCCAAGAAAUGCUCUGAUUUUUGCCCUUUUGAAAUCUGAAAUUGCAGACACCAGUUCCUCCUCUAGAGCAACUUUUGAAUUCAAGAUGAGAAGAAUCCACCCCAUGAGGAAUAACCAGAGAUGAAAGACCUGGUGUUACGUGGGUAUCUGUUCUCUUCAGCACCUCGUGCCCCUC